rnacentral:rRNA from 1 species
GACAGAGGGUGCAAACGUUAUCCGGAAUUAUUGGGCGUAAAGAGCUCGUAGGCGGUUUGUCGCGUCUGCCGUGAAAGUCCGGGGCUCAACUCCGGAUCUGCGGUGGGUACGGGCAGACUAGAGUGAUGUAGGGGAGACUGGAAUUCCUGGUGUAGCGGUGAAAUGCGCAGAUAUCAGGAGGAACACCGAUGGCGAAGGCAGGUCUCUGGGCAUUAACUGACGCUGAGGAGCGAAAGCAUGGGGAGCGAACAGG